AUGCACUUUACGCGGCCCAGCGCGGGGGCUGCCGGCGCCCGGAGGGGCCCCGUCCCCCUCUCCCACGGCAGCGGGGCCGAUUCUCAUUCCCUUCCUCUGCGGCCGGCGGGGCGGCUUCGGGAGGCGCCGGGGAGCGGCCGGCGGUUGCCGAAGGCAGGUCCUGGAUUUACCACUAGCAAAGAUGACGCCCGACGUGACGAACUCCUCAUGCUAGCGAGCACUCCUUACCGUAGCAGAUUUUUGCAAAUGGAGUUUUACAGUCUAUAUUUAAAGAAUUGUAUGUUUGUAACAAAUAAAAAAGUAUGCGGAAAAGUGAAUGAAAAACCCACCCGGCCCCGGUCUCGCUCUUUUUUUUUUUUUUUUUUUGAGGGGGUUGGGGGUCGGUGUGGAGGCUUCCGAUUGCUGUGGGGUCCCCCCCGAAUUGCUGUGGGGUCCCUGGUGCUGGGGGAAGCACCUCGAGGGCCACCUCGUCCCCCAGUUGGGCUCUGGGGGCAGCGCAGCCCCUUGUGGGGGGGCCCCCUGAGGCGUGGGGACAGCUGGGGUGGGCUGCGGGGGGGGGCAUCGCGUGCAGCUGGCGGGCGCAAGUGCGAGAAAUCGCCCCCGUCGAGGGAGGGGGAGGGCAGCAAGGCUUUGGUGCAAAGCUCGGUGCAUACGUGUGGCACGUGCGGGUGCCCACGGCCGUGUUCCCCCCCCUGUUUUCACCCCUCCCCAGCAGCGCUGCAGCCCACGCCAGGCCCGCACGCGGUGACGCAGGCGCCGCAGCCCGCGCCGCAUUUAGCUCUGCGGCUCCCUGCGGGCGCGGGCUCAUCUGAGGACACGGGCGGCAGCCGCCUGCGCACUGCGAGCCGUGGCCGUCGCCGCCGCCGCCACCACCGCACGCAGCCCCUGGGCUCGGGGACCUGGCGUGACCCCAUCCCCAGAGCUGGAUCCGUGCUGCUGCCUCGGAAAAACGAAGCGGUGGCGCUCCCCCCGGGUGCCAGCUGCUGCGGUGGGGGCCGGGGGAAGGCUGAGGGGGGCUGCAAUGAGCCCCAGGGACAGCUGCGGGGCUGCAGGCGCCAGUGGCAGUUGUUGCCUGCGGGGCAGGUGCAGGCAGUGGGGUUGGGGGGGGGCAGAUCCACUGCUGAGCCCCCCCCCACAGCCCCAAAAUGCUGUGGGUGCAUUAAUAGGCACGGUGCUUGGUGCUGGGGGGGGUUGGUGGGGAAAUGA
rnacentral:lncRNA from 1 species